rnacentral:misc_RNA from 1 species
UAUGCCAUGAGAUGGCUGCCUAAUUCUAUUGAGGCUUUGGUAUCUGAAGCUCAUAGCAGAAGGAACAAGUCGUUGUUAGAAACUAUAAUCUGCUUAUUGCCUUAUGACAAAGGUGUUACUUGUUCGUGUUGUUUCUUGCUUAAGUUACUGAAAGUCGCUAUUCUUGUCGGGGCAGAUGAUUCAUCAAGGGAUGAACUUGUAAAAAGUAUCAGCUUAAAGCUGGAUGAGGCUUCCGUCAACGAUCUUUUGAUUCCAGCAAGGUCUCCCCAAGCUACUGUCUAUGAUGUUGAACUAGUGAAGUGCCUUGUGAAUCGAUUCAUGGCUCGUGAAAGAAGUAGUAGGGAUAAGAACAUUCCCCCGAAAAGCACCAAUGAUUUUAUCUUGGGGCAUGCAUCAUGGUUGAAAGUCGGUAAAUUAAUUGAUGGCUAUCUUGCAGAAAUUGCUCGUGAUCCAAAUGUCAGUCUCUCUAUUUUCAUUGAACUGUUGCAAUCAAUUCCAGACUCAGCAAGACCAAUCCAUGAUGCAUUAUAUGAGGCAAUCGAUAUCUAUCUGCAGGAACACUCAAGCUUGACAAAAGCUGAGAAAAAACAUUUAUGUGGUCUCAUGGAUGUCAGGAAAUUAACAAUGGAUGCAUCUAUGCAUGCUGCACAAAACGAACGUCUGCCUCUCCGGACAGUCGUUCAAGUCCUGUUCUUUGAGCAAAUUAGAGCAGCUGCUGGAGUACAGACCUUAAAUCACAGAAAUACUGAUGCUGUAGAUUCCUCUAGGAUGACUGAAAAGGAAUAUUGGCAAAAAACAUUACCAGAGAAGCAGAAUGUAUCGAAGUCAUCGAGUGAAAUAAAGAUAAAAGGUGAAGAUCCACAGAAGAACAUGAAACUGGUAAAGAAAGGUAGCAAGAACAGAAGUAGUGGACCACAGUUGAUGCCAUCAAGAUCAAGGAGAAUAUUUGACAAGCUGUUUAUUGGUAAGGUGUCUGGUAACGGCGAAAACCGGAGCUCUGAGACAUCUGGUAGUUCUCAGAGUCCAACUUUAAGGAUUAUUCAAGGAGAAAUGAAGUCAUCUUGUGCAUCUUCAAGAAAUAGGAGGAAUUCCAUAUCAUAAGAAAUUCAUGUAGAUUCAUGUAGUCUUUUAG